GACGAACGCUGGCGGCGUGCUUAACACAUGCAAGUCGAACGGAAAGGCCCUGCUUUUGUGGGGUGCUCGAGUGGCGAACGGGUGAGUAACACGUGAGUAACCUGCCCUUCACUUUGGGAUAACUUCAUGAAACUGGGGCUCAUACCGGCUAGGAGCUCCUGCUUCAUGGUGGGGGUUGGAAAGUUUCGGCGGUUGGGGAUGGACUCGCGGCUUAUCAGCUUGAUGGUGGGGUAGUGUCUUACCAAGGCUUUGAACGGUAGCCGGCCUGCGAGGGUGACCGGCCACAUUGGGACUGAGAUACGGCCCAGACUCCUACGGGAGGCAGCAGUGGAGAAUAGUGCACAAUGGGCGGAAGCCUGAUGCAGCAACGCCGCGUGCGGGAUGACGGCCUUCGGGUUGUAAACCGCUUUCGCCUGUGACGAAGCGUGAGUGACGGUAAUGGGUAAAGAAGCACCGGCUAACUACGUG
rnacentral:rRNA from 1 species